AUUGAACGCUGGCGGCAGGCUUAACACAUGCAAGUCGAGCGGUAGCACAAGAGCGCUUGCUCUCUGGGUGACGAGCGGCGGACGGGUGAGUAAUGUCUGGGAAACUGCCUGAUGGAGGGGGAUAACUACUGGAAACGGUAGCUAAUACCGCAUAACGUCGCAAGACCAAAGAGGGGGACCUUCGGGCCUCUUGCCAUCAGAUGUGCCCAGAUGGGAUUAGCUAGUAGGUGGGGUAAUGGCUCACCUAGGCGACGAUCCCUAGCUGGUCUGAGAGGAUGACCAGCCACACUGGAACUGAGACACGGUCCAGACUCCUACGGGAGGCAGCAGUGGGGAAUAUUGCACAAUGGGCGCAAGCCUGAUGCAGCCAUGCCGCGUGUGUGAAGAAGGCCUUCGGGUUGUAAAGCACUUUCGGCGAGGAGGAAGGUGGUGAACUUAAUACGUUCAUCAAUUGACGUUACUCGCAGAAGAAGCACCGGCUAACUCCGUG
rnacentral:rRNA from 1 species